rnacentral:rRNA from 1 species
GCCAAGGAGAGUUUGAUCCUGGCUCAGGAUGAACGCUGGCGGCGUGCUUAACACAUGCAAGUCGAACGGGAUUACAGGAAGGUUUACCGGAAUGUAAUCUAGUGGCGGAC